rnacentral:rRNA from 1 species
ACAGAAGNGAGGCUAACCGCAAGGGGGCCGCUUACCACGGUGCGUUUCGUGACUGGGGUGAAGUCGUAAACAAGGUACCC